rnacentral:rRNA from 1 species
AUCAUUGGAGAGUUUGAUCCUGGCUCAGGACGAACGCUGGCGGCGUGCCUAACACAUGCAAGUCGUACGGGACCGGGGGCAACUCCGGUUCAGUGGCAGAUGGGUGCGUAAC